rnacentral:rRNA from 1 species
GACGAACGCUGGCGGCGUGCUUAACACAUGCAAGUCGAACGGAAAGGCCCUGCUCUUGUGGGGUGCUCGAGUGGCGAACGGGGGAGUAACACGUGAGUAACCUGCCCUUGACUGUGGGAUAACUUCAGGAAACUGGGGCUAAUACCGGAUAGGAGCUCCUGCUGCAUGGGGGGGGUUGGAAAGAUUCGGCGGUUGGGGCUGGACUCGCGGCUUAUCAGCUUGUUGGUGGGGUAGGUGCUUACCAAGGCUUUGACGGGUGGCCGGCCUGAGAGGGUGACCGGCCACAUUGGGACUGCGAUACGGCCCAGACUCCUACGGGAGGCAGCAGUGGGGAAUAUUGCACAAUGGGCGGAAGCCUGAUGCAGCAACGCCGCGUGCGGGAUGACGGCCUUCGGGUUGUAAACCGCUUUCGCCUGUGACGAAGCGUGCGUGACGGUAAUGGGUAAAGAAGCACCGGCUAACUACGUG